rnacentral:rRNA from 1 species
CGAACGGGUGAGGUAACACGUGGGCAACCUGCCCAAAAGAGGGGGAUAACACUUGGAAACAGGUGCUAAUACCGCAUAACCAUAGUUACCGCAUGGUAACUAUGUAAAAGGUGGCUAUGCUACCGCUUUUGGAUGGGCCCGCGGCGCAUUAGCUAGUUGGUGGGGUAAAGGCUUACCAAGGCAAUGAUGCGUAGCCGAACUGAGAGGUUGAUCGGCCACAUUGGGACUGAGACACGGCCCAAACUCCUACGGAAGGCAGCAG